GGGAGGGAGGGGACCGGCGCAGCCACAUCGUCAGGCCGCCGGGCCCAGCCCGCAGCCGCCCGAGCGCGGUGGAGGAGACAGAGGGGAGGGUGCAGACCCUUGGCGCCUUACCGGAGCGCUGCACCGCCGCGUCCGCAGGGCCUCUUCCGUCCUUCACUCCCAUCCACCGGCGGGGGGAAGGGGGAGGGAGAGGGAAGGGAGGAAGGAGGGAGGGAGGGAAGGAGGGAGGGGAGGAUGGCGCGCUGGGCCCGGUCCUCGGGAGGGGGAGGGGAGGGAAGCGGGCGGGCUCUUCAGCCGUUCCGGGGCUCGAGCCCAAGCCCAGCGCUCGCGGUUUCUGUUGCUCGCGCCCGAGCGCUUCCUUCCUGCCCUUUCUCGUUCUCUAGACCCUCGGGCCGCUGUUCAAUCGCUCCCUCACUCGCUAUCUCGGCCGUCGGACUCCGCCGCCGCCCCGCCGCUCCAGCUCCGUCUGUCACAGGAGCUGCCCCAGCGCCCUGACGUCACCGCGCCGCCGCCGCCCCAGACCCGCCAGGAAGAGGGAGGGGAGCGGAGGAGGGGCUGCGGCGCAUGCGCGGGCGCGGCUGGGCCCCUGAGUCGCCGUCUUCGUCCUGGCGAGCGGGCGAUCGCGGCCAGUGCUACUUGGCGGUACGGAGUGGCCGGUGGGCGAGCGUGCGCACGAGGCCCUGCUUUUCACGUCCCUCGUGCCGCUAUAACCUUGGAAGAGCCCCUUUUUUCCUCGACUCUGUUGUGUCCCCUCACGAACUCUGGUCCCACUCACCUAACCGCCCCGCUUUUGCCCCACUGCAUGCUGCGCUCUCUCCGCUUCCCCGGCGGACAGCGGGGACCAGUCGGCGCCCCUGCAUCCCGGCCCCGGUAGGUUCCAGAGUAAGAAAGCCCGGGCCAGGCUAUCGCCCAUUCUGCCUGCGGCCUGCUGUAUUAUCACCACCCCGCCAAAAAGAAAGGGAAGUAGGUUGGUUUGCUUGGGAGGAUUCGCUUUUAGAUGUGAUUCAGCUGUUAUUUUCCUUAGUCACACACCACGCAUCAGAGACUCUAGAAGUCUCGAAACUGACUCCCAAAGAAAGACCUGGAACUUUAUCCCUACAAGGAAUAUCGGCGGUCUCUGUAUGUAGCCAAGUUGGCCUCAAACUCACCAGGAUUCUUCUGCCUCAGCCUCCCAAGUGACGGGAUUACAGGUUCUUGAGUGCUGGGAUUAACAGGCAUGUGCCACCGUGUCCAGCCUAUGAUGAACAUUUCUGAACAUAAUUUUUUGUUACAUUGUGCUGCUUACUUCCUUAAGAUAGAACCCCAAAAUUAGGGUUACUAGGCCAAAAGAUAAGGUCUUUUAAUUUGUUUAUUUGUUUGUACUGGGAAUUGAACCCAGGGCCUUCACACUGUGCUACAUC
ensembl:lncRNA